rnacentral:rRNA from 1 species
UGCAGUCGGACGGCAGCAUAGGUGCUUGCACCUGAUGGCGAGUGGCGAACGGGUGAGUAAUGCAUCGGAACGUGCCCAGUCGUGGGGGAUAACGCAGCGAAAGCUGUGCUAAUACCGCAUACGAUCUAUGGAUGAAAGCGGGGGACCUUCGGGCCUCGCGCGAUUGGAGCGGCCGAUGUUAGAUUAGGUAGUUGGUGAGGUAAAGGCUCACCAAGCCUACGAUCUAUAGCUGGUCUGAGAGGACGACCAGCCACACUGGAACUGAGACACGGUCCAGACUCCUACGGGAGGCAGCAGUGGGGAAUUUUGGACAAUGGGCGAAAGCCUGAUCCAGCAAUACCGCGUGCAGGAAGAAGGCCUUCGGGUUGUAAACUGCUUUUGUACGGAACGAAACGGUCUAGAUUAAUACUCUGGGCUAAUGACGGUACCGUAAGAAUAAGCACCGGCUAACUACGUGCCAGCAGCCGCGGUAAUACGUAGGGUGCAAGCGUUAAUCGGAAUUACUGGGCGUAAAGCGUGCGCAGGCGGUUUUGUAAGACAGGCGUGAAAUCCCCGGGCUCAACCUGGGAAUUGCGCUUGUGACUGCAAGG